GCCCUUAAGAAGAUGUGGUAUGAUUGCCAAUGAGACAACUCUCCACAAGAGACCAAAGUGACACAGAAAUUAAGUUGAGAUAUACCUAAAAUAAACAACUUUAAUUAAGACAAGGUACAAGGUAUGUAAUGCUGAUUCAUCCAUGUGCCAGGAAAAUUAGUCAUUUAGUAAUUAUAGUAUUAUAUUAGUGUAUUAGUUUAGGAAACUUAGUGUCGUUGUUAUGUCUAUGUCAUAUCUUUGAAUUUUUCGAAAUACUAAGGACUUUCUAAACUUGGUAUAUAUUACUUUGGCUGCAUUUAAUUUGGUUCCUUGAUGCUUAUCAACUUCCUACUUUAUUUGACCCUUUGCCUUUUCUGAUUAGAGAGUCACUGGUGAUUCUUUUGUACAGUAGACAAAUCCAUGUCUGGCAUAUACAAUUUUAAGCUUGGUUCUUCAAUUAGUGUACUGGUUCUACAAUUAUAAUGUGUUUCAUUUUUUUUUUUUUUUUUUUAAAUGCUCGGCUCAACAAAAAGACAGAUAUCCAAAGUGAUUUCUCACCCACUCCUAAUUAUUCACAUUUUUUGUGGUUAACAAUUAAUAGAAAGAAUGCUAUAGAUACAUUGAAUAUUCAAAAUAAUAUUUUGAUAUUCUUAAAUAUUUAUGCAAUGAUGGAGAAAACUUUUGAAGUAGUAAUCCAUGCCAUGAAUCCCAGAA
rnacentral:lncRNA from 1 species